GACGAACGCUGGCGGCGUGCUUAACACAUGCAAGUCGAACGGUGAAGCCUUUCGGGGUGGAUCAGUGGCGAACGGGUGAGUAACACGUGGGCAAUCUGCCCUGCACUCUGGGACAAGCCCUGGAAACGGGGUCUAAUACCGGAUAUUACCUGGGGGUGCAUGCCCUUGGGUGGAAAGCUCCGGCGGUGCAGGAUGAGCCCGCGGCCUAUCAGCUUGUUGGUGGGGUGAUGGCCUACCAAGGCGACGACGGGUAGCCGGCCUGAGAGGGCGACCGGCCACACUGGGACUGAGACACGGCCCAGACUCCUACGGGAGGCAGCAGUGGGGAAUAUUGCACAAUGGGCGAAAGCCUGAUGCAGCGACGCCGCGUGAGGGAUGACGGCCUUCGGGUUGUAAACCUCUUUCAGCAGGGAAGAAGCGCAAGUGACGGUACCUGCAGAAGAAGCACCGGCUAACUACGUGCCAGCAGCCGCAGUAAUAC
rnacentral:rRNA from 1 species